rnacentral:rRNA from 1 species
AGCAGUAGCCGCGGGAAUACGAGGGGGGCAAGCGUUGUUCGGAAUUAUUGGGCGUAAAGGGUGCGUAGGCGGCUUGACAAGUCUUGUGUGAAAUCUAUGGGCUCAACCCAUAGUCUGCACGGGAAACUGUCGGGCUUGAGAAUGGGAGAGGUGAGUGGAAUUUCCGGUGUAGCGGUGAAAUGCGGAGAUAUCGGAAGGAACACCUGUGGCGAAAGCGGCUCACUGGACCAUUUCUGACGCUGAUGCACUAAAGCUAGGGGAGCAAACAGGAUUAGAUACCCCCGUAGUCCCUGUCUCUUAUAC